rnacentral:rRNA from 1 species
UACGUAGGGGGCUAGCGUUGUCCGGAAUCAUUGGGCGUAAAGCGCGCGUAGGCGGCCCGGUAAGUCCGCUGUGAAAGUCAAAGGCUCAACCUUUGAAUGUCAGCGGAUACUGCCGGGCUAGAGUCCGGAAGAGGCGAGUGGAAUUCCCGGUGUAGCGGUGAAAUGCGCAGAUAUCGUAAGGAAGACCAGUGGCGAAGGCGGAUCUCUGGACAGUUACUGACACUGAGGCACGAAGGCCAGGGGAGCAAACGGG